rnacentral:lncRNA from 10 species
UGUUAAAAACCACAGUGCCAGGGCAAGGAGCCCUGGAGUGGCAGUCAAGAACGCUGUCUUCUCAUUCCAACUUUGCCCUAUAAGCUAUGCAACUUUGAAGAAGUUUCUCUCAACCAUUAAAAUAACAACAGUGGCAACAGCUGUGCUGUUGGUGGCCCCUGGUCCAUGAAAAACUCCUUGAGUUUCUCCUACACUACACCUGGCUCCAGCUCUUGAAUUAUCGUAAUUUGACUGCAUCAUCUGUUUCCCGCUGGGACCUGAUUGAACAGGU